rnacentral:rRNA from 1 species
AUUGAACGCUGGCGUCAGGCCUAACACUUGCAAGUCGAUCGGAGCGGCCGACGGGUGAGUAAUACCUAGGCAUCUGUCUGGUCGUGGGGGAUAACGUUCGCAAACGGUCGUUAUUACCGCCUACUCUCAGCUGAGCCUCGGUCGGCUUAGCUAGUUGGUGGGGUAAUGGCUCACCAAUGCUACGAUCCGUAACUGGUCUGAGAGGAUGAUCAGUCACACUGGAACGUGGACCCGUGCCAGACGCCUACGGGAGGAAGCAGUGGGGAAUAUUGGACAAUGGGAGAAAGCCUGAUCCAGCCAUGCCGCGUGUGUGAAGAAGGUCUUCGGAUUGUAAAGCACUUUAAGUUGGGAGGCGUUACCGACAGAAUAAGCAACGGCUAACUCUGUGCCAGCAGCCGCGGUAAUAC